ACUCCCGGUCUCUUCCUCUGAAGAUGCUGGAGACUUUGUUGCAAGAAAGGAUGGCUUUAGGUCAUGUUGCUGAGGCCUGAUCUUAAAGAUCUAAUUGCUAUUGGAAGAGAAUCCUGUUUCCCAACUGGGCCUCCCCUCUGGAGAUGGAGCAAGGAAGACUGUCCAACUCUGCUCUGGGCACCCUGCUGAUGGAUGAGGUGUCAGGCCAGUCGUCAUGUGAGGACUGGUUUCCAAAUGCAGAUACAAAAAGAAAAAUUACUGUCAUGUGAUGUGUGAUCCAUGAUACCGUCAUAGUUUUGUUAUGAGAAAACUGAGGCUCUGAGAGAUGACAUCAUAAAGCCUUGUAAGACCCAGUUGCUGUGCUCCACCUUCAUACCUUCGCCUAUGUUAGAACUUCUGAGAAGCUGAAGCAUCACAUAUAAAAAGCCAAGACCAUCCUCAAGGAGUUUAAUGAAUGUGGCAUCACAAGAAAAAUAUGCAUCAACAUUGAAAAGAAAAGAAAUAAAAUUCCAUUAACAGAGCUUGAGGAAGUGGACUUGACUAAGCUGGAGUAAGGAGUGCAGAGAGUGAGGAGACAGGAUGCGAAACAAGAGUAUGUAUUUUGUUAUUGGGUUUACUUUUCUGCUUUGAUUUUUCUUCCACUGGUUGGGUUCUUCCACUGCGUGAAAGAACCUGUAGUCCUGUUAUUGUAGUUUAUUGUAAAGUUAUCCACAGACUCUCUAACUACUCUGGAACUGAUGGCUAAGAGCAGAACUUGGAUCUUAUAAUCCUGUAGGCUUCAGAAGAAGCUUAAUGCCACCUUGACCA
rnacentral:lncRNA from 10 species